rnacentral:lncRNA from 1 species
CAUUGCUACUUGGGGACAAAUUCUCCCUGGACUCUAAGUUUGGGAUUCGGGUGUUUUUCCUAAGUUAUUUUUCUGCAUGAGUCUCACUGACAGCGCCCCUACCUGGGUUGCCCACCUGUCCUCCACCGCGCCCUGGAGCCUGUGGUGUCUCAGCAGCCCCAGGAGAGCAGCGCCUUCUAUCUGGGACCCGCAGGCAGCCUGAAGAGGCCCUUGACUCUGUGGCCUAGCCACAGCUCCGGGAACCAAACUUUCCUAGCGAGCGCGCCAGGAACUUGGCUGAAGUUGGGAGGGUCGCUUACCAGCUGAUGAAGCCAUCGCCGUCGCUGUCGCACGUCUGGAAGAGCCGCCGCAGACGCUCCUCCUCGUCGGUGCUGGACGUGUCGCUGCUGCUACCGUUGCUGCUGCAAGCGCUUGCAGCCGCCAUCGCGCUCCCGCCCCAGGGAGGAACAGCAGGACCUGCACUGCUCACAGCUGCGGACAGCCCUGAACCUGCCCGACGACGGAGCAUGCCCAGUGGCCGCCCCAGGAGCGACGGAUUCCACCUUUCCGGGUUUUACCGCAAUCGCCCAAGUGGCACCUGCGGAAUGAGAUUUGCUCUGGAAAUCACAGAACCUGGGAUGCCUACCUGGAGGCCAAAGAAGACUUCAGACCUCUGACACUAAGGGAUGAUUCAGGCAGACCGCGGUGAUCUUCUGGCACUAGUGC